rnacentral:rRNA from 1 species
UACGUAGGGUGCGAGCGUUAAUCGGAAUUACUGGGCGUAAAGCGUGCGCAGGCGGUUCGUUGUGUCGGUGGUGAAAUCCCCGGGCUUAACCUGGGAAUGGCCAUGGAAACUGGCGAACUGGAGUGCGGCAGAGGGGGUGGAAUUCCGCGUGUAGCAGUGAAAUGCGUAGAGAUGUGGAGGAACACCGAUGGCGAAGGCAGCCCCCUGGGUCAACACUGACGCUCAUGCACGAAAGCGUGGGGAGCAAACAGG